UCACCGCUGAGGGAUCAUCAAUAUCUACAACGUUGAAAAUGAAACAGAAAAGGGAUUUUAACAAAUUAAAUGUGAACCAUGUGUGACCAAUAUAGGUUUUUUAAAAAACAGCGAAGUGUGUUUCACCCAGGGAUCUGAGAGGAACACGUCUACAGGACUUCAUCUCAAGCCAAAUAAUCAUGUGGAAGCUCCUGGUGGCGUUACCACGGACCUGGGUUCCAGCAGCAGGGUGCUCUUUACUUUCCCAGGCCUCAGCCUGUUGCUACAGGUCCCAGAGUUGCAGCACUUUCGAAAUUUUGCAACACGUAUGAGGCAGGGAGCAGGGAAUUCUAGAAAAGGUGAACCUGAGAAAAUACCUCAGUGGUUGCCUGAGGAUUCGAGUGAAGAGAGAGAAGAUGGAUUCAAAGGGGCACAGGGAAACCGUGGUGAUGAAGAUGCCCUGGGGGCCGCUGCAGUAGCUGGUUACAGAGAGUUCUGUCCACUGAAAGCCCUGAAGAUAAUUAACACCCCAGCCACAAUGAACACACACCAGCAUCCAGAUUCGGCUUCUCAAUACCAUUCACCUCUAAAAGGAAUCAGAGCUUUUUGGAGAAAUGGAUGAAUCCGUGGCUAGAAAUGAAAAAUAGAAGCUAAACCUAGGACGCCUCUGUGCAAGAGAAAGCAAGAAGUCCUCAGAGACUAAAGGGGACAUAGACAAAGGACAGGAAAGGCAGCCUAAAGGGGCCUUACUGGCCAAGUCUGGGAUAAUUUGAGCAUCAAAACAAUGACCGCCAUUGAUUAUAAAACACUGAAUAAAAACCUGAGUCCACAAGGAUAUUCACAGAGAUUUACUUGCCACCAUUAGAGGCGAUUAUACACCAAUCCUUUUCUCUGCGAAUCGGCCCUACAGUUCCUUUUUAAGAACUGUAAUGCCAACUAAUGACAGAAUUAGAAAAAUCACCAUUUUGCAACCCCCCAGAGAAAUGAUUCAGGCAAGAAUCAUCAAUGGAUAUGCACACGGUGCCAAAUUAUCUCCCCCUAGCUUACAGGUUAAUCACAAAGGGAAAACCAUACCCUGCGGUGGAGAGAUGAGGCAUCACCACCUUAGGCCAGGGUUCGAACUUAGCAUCACCCACAACAGGACAACCUGGUAGUUCGGGCGGCCUAGGAAGCACCCAGCACCACCUGGCAACUGUUUCAACGAGCUUGAACCUAAACAAGCAGUUGGAUUUGACUUCCAGGGAUACAGGGCCAAGCUGAACAACAUCACAAGGAAAGACUCAGCCAAGUUCAAGAUGUGAGCCUCCCCUAAAACAACAGGCCUUGAUCUUUUCAAAAAAAAGGGGCUUUGGAGGCUGGUAGGAUCAUUCCAGACUGUAAAGACAACAGAGAUAUUAAAAAUCCAGUUGCAAUGCCUGUACCUUCGCUACAUCUUGGUUUUAAAAAGCCACAAAGUUAUAAAAAAGAAAAAACACUUUGGGGUACAAUUGGAGAAUCUGAAUACAGACUAACUAGAUGCUGUGGGGAAUUAUUUUAGAUUUUCUUAGGCGUGGUAACGUGCUGCGCUUAUACAGGAGAGAAUGUCUUUGUUCCCAAGAGAUUCACGCUGAUGGUUUAAAGGGUAAAGCGCCGUGAUGCCUACAACUUUCUCUUAAUGGGGUCUCAUGAUUUUUACAUAAAGACGAACUUAACAUGGUAAUGACGACUGAUUCUAGGUAGUGGGGUAGAUAGGUAGUCUCUGUACUAUUCUUGCAUCUUUUCUGUAUAUUUGAGUUUUUCCAUCAGAAAAAUAUGAGAAGAGGGGGAAGCAGCAGUGGUGACAGUCCUGCCGUUUGUAAAGUCGGUUAUCCUGGGCAGAGCCAGUACCUCACCCAUCUGCACCAGGUGUAUUGAGCUGAACGGUGCCCUCAUCUCAGUACCCUCAGAAUGUGAUGAUAUUUGGGAAACAGGGUCUCUAAAGAGGCAAUUAAGCUAAAACGAGGCCAUGAGGCUGGGCUCUGAUAUCCUAGAGAGGAGAUUGGGACCCAGGUACCCACAGAGGGAAGACCAUGUGAAGACACAAGGUGGCCACCUACCAGCCAAGGAGAGAAGCCUCUGAAGAAACCAGCCCAGCAGACACCUUUAUCUCACAUUUCUAGCCUCUAGAACUGUGCAAAAAUACAUUUGUUUCGUAAGGCCCCCCCUGCCACCGCCCCAGUCUAUGAUGCUUGUAAUGCCAGCCCUAGCAAACUCAUCUAAUAGGGAGGAUUUCCAGGAGAAGGACAAAGACUGUUCCUCUAAUGUGCACAGAGGAACAGCCCGGCUUCUUUGUGCGUAUUACCCAUUUACUGACGGAGAAGACCAUGAGCUCCCAGGAUACCGCAUCUGUGUGUGUGAGUGUGUGUGUGCGCGCACGCACGUGCGUGGGGGGGGGGGGUUGGAGUGAAGACAGCUAUUUGGGAUGACUUAACGUCUGCUACAUCAGCUGGGGAAUACCCAGACAUCCUGCCUCUCAGGUUCUCUUACACUCACAGGACGUCUCCCAGAGCCAGCGCUGUCUGGGGACCUCCUGGUAGCCUGGGUUUACCUCCGCAGAGACACUGAAAAGGCACACGUCUGUCUGCUGCCAAGGAAUCAGACAUCGAGCAGAAAUGUGUCGA